GACGAACGCUGGCGGCGUGCCUAACACAUGCAAGUCGAACGGACAGGCCCUGCUUUUGUUGCGUUCUCGAUUGGCGAACGCGUGAGUAACACGUGUGUAUCCUGCCCUUGUCUUUCUGAUAUCUUCAGGAAACUCGGGCUCUUAUCGCAUAUGAUCUCCUGCUCCAUGUUGUUCGUUGGAAAGUUUCGGCGGUUCGGGAUGUACUCGCGGCUUCUCAGCUUGUUGGUGUGGUAGUUACUUACGAAGCCUUUGACGGGUAGCCGGCCUGAGAGGGGUACCGGCGACAUGGGGACUGAGGGACGGACCAGAAUGGUACGGGAGGCAGCAGUGGAGAGUAUUGCAGAGUAGGCGGGAGCCAGAUGCAGAAACGCCGCGUGCGGGAUGACGGGCUUCGGGUUGUGAACCGAUGUGGCCUGUGACGAAGCGUGAGUGACGGUAAUGGGUAAAGAAGCAACGGCUAACUACGUG
rnacentral:rRNA from 1 species